rnacentral:rRNA from 1 species
UUAGCAUGGAAUAAUGAAAUAGGACUUGGUUUUAUUUUGUUGGUUUUAAACCAAGUAAUGAUUAAUAGGAACAGUUGGGGGCAUUCAUAUUUCUGCGCUAGAGGUGAAAUUCUUAGAUUGCAGAAAGAUGAGCUAAUGCGAAAGCAUUUGCCAAGGAUGUUUUCAUUGAUCAAGAGCGAAAGUUAAGGGAUCGAAGACGAUUAGAUACCGUCGUAGUCUUAACCAUAAACUAUGCCGACUAGAGAUCAGACCCAGUGUAAUUGAAAACGGGUUUGGCAUCUUAUGAGAAAUCAAAGUGUUUGGGUUCCGGGGGGAGUAUGGUCGCAAGGCUGAAACUUAAAGGAAUUGACGGAAGGGCACCACCAGGAGUGGAGCCUGCGGCUUAAUUUGACUCAACACGGGAAAACUCACCAGGUCCAGACAUAAUAAGGAUUGACAGAUUGAGAGCUCUUUCAUGAUUUUAUGGGUGGUGGUGCAUGGCCGUUUUUAGUUGGUGGAGUGAUUUGUCUGGUUAAUUCCGAUAACGAACGAGACCUUAACCUGCUAAAUAGUCGUAGUCAUUUGUAUGGCUGGGAGCUUCUUAGAGGGACAAUUGACGUUUAGUCAAUGGAAGUGAGGCAAUAACAGGUCUGUGAUGCCCUUAGAUGUUCUGGGCUGCACGCGCGCUACACUGAUAAAGGCAACGAGUAUAAACCUUAUCCGAAAGGAUUGGGAAAUCUUGUGAAACUUUAUCGUGAUGGGAAUAGUCAAUUGCAAUUAUUUGACUUGAACGAGGAAUUCCUAGUAAGCGCAAGUCAUCAGCUUGCGUUGAUUACGUCCCUGCCCUUUGUACACACCGCCCGUCGCUACUACCGAUUGAAUGGCU